CCUGCAGCCAACUGGGAAAAAAAACAGAGCCGUUACUUUAACGCGACAUCUUUUGAUAUGUAUUGGAAUCAUAGUUUAGCAAAUCUAAAAGAAAAUUGUGAUUGAUUCGUUAAUAAGAGGUUUACAUUGUUCAUAUUUUUGUUAAUUUAUGUGUGUGUCUGUGUUGGAAAGUGUAUGCAGUGUGUGGGGUCAAGAGAAUAAUCAGGUGUUUGAACUAAACGUACGUAGAAAUGAGUAUUAUGAGCAACGCUGCACACACACAUACAAAAAAAGUGUGGUUACAAAUGUCGGUGUAAGACAAUCCAAAGCGCGUAAAGGCACCGUAAUAUUUGAUGGAGAUCUUGUUACAGAAGAGUCACUGGUGAAGAAGGGAUUUGUUUCACCUGAGGAUGUGUUGUGGCUUCCAAGAAUAACAGAUAGUGUACACAGGAUUCCAUGCGAGUGCGGAAAGGUGUACGUGGGGCAGACAAGGAGAUCCACUGAGACCAGGUGCUAAGAGCAUAUGAGGCACAUCCGCCUUGAACACUCCAAACAGUCUGCAGUAGUGGAGCACAGCAUAAAUAUAGGGCACCACACUGACUUCCGUAGAACCUCCAUGUUGGAUAAGGCAUCAGGAUAUAUGGACCGGCUCAUAAAAGAAGCCACUGAGAUCCGCCUGAACAGCAACUUCAACAGAAAUUAUGGUUUCACUCUGAGCGGGGCUUGGUAUCCUGUGACAAAACUGCCAUCGGCCCAGAAGUCGGACCCAGCUAGUGUAAGCAUGUGACCUCAACCGCCAGUUCCCACUGGCCAGUGUGAAACAAAGCAACGGAUGGGCUACCAGUAACAUCAUCACUACCUGCCAUCCUCUGCCAGUUCAUAUCAGCUAGCGUGCAACAAAGGAACAGACUGGUUACCCAGCAGGCUUGAGGAUGAGAACAGAGAUUGUUCUCAAAACACUGGCAGAAGGUAUGGUUUAUUAAUCUUUCAGCCACCUGAUAUGGCUUGUAACCCAGGAUUCUUUAAUCAACUUCAGUUGCUGCAAAAGCUUCACUUCAUACAUCAGACUAAAAACACAUGUGAAAAUGGAAACCAAUGAAACAAACUGAAGCUGAUCUCUUUAGAAUGAAAUUCAACAGAGUAAAUGAAACAUAUAACAUGAUAAUGAAUGCAUCCUCACACACAAUGAUAACUUCUGAGCACUAUGUGUAAAGAGCCAUCAUACAACUACAAAACAGGAUCAAGGUUCUGUCAUGAGUUGACAGAUUCAAUAAUUUCAUAGAAUGCAAUGCUGUAUGUGCACAGUAUGUUCUUCUAAGUAUUGGUAACCACCUACAAGACUACACGGUGCAACAAUCAAAGACCACAAUUUGAACUCACACUGAAAAUUUCAAUCUCAUAAAUACAGGAUAUUGAAGUGAAUAAAUUCAACCUAUUAUGGAGAGACAAUCAAUAUAAAUUUGUAAGAAUAAGACAACAUAUUUGAUGAUAUGAAAAAGAAAUAUAAUUGAACUGUCCUGGUAUAUGAAGAGCAUCAGCAACAAAUCAACAAAGAGGUCAAUGAGGUACCUAUAAAACCACAAAGAAAGCAUUUUGAAGAUAUGUAUAAUCCAAACUGGAGGAUUGCUUACCUAGCAA